UACGUAGGGGGCAAGCGUUGUCCGGAAUUAUUGGGCGUAAAGAGCUCGUAGGCGGUGUGUCGCGUCGGCCGUGAAAACCUGCAGCUUAACUGUGGGCUUGCGGUCGAUACGGGCAUCACUGGAGUUCGGCAGGGGAGACUGGAAUUCCUGGUGUAGCGGUGAAAUGCGCAGAUAUCAGGAGGAACACCGGUGGCGAAGGCGGCAUCCUGGACCGACAUUGACGCUGAACGGCGAAAGCUAGGGGAGCAAACGGG
rnacentral:rRNA from 1 species